rnacentral:lncRNA from 1 species
UACAAUUUACCGAAAACAACUACAAAUUCAUCAAAAUCAACUACAAAAUCAUCGAAGCCAACUACAAUAUUAUCAAAAUGUACUACAUAAAUAGCAAAAUCAACUACAAAAUCACCGAAAUCAACUACUAAUUAUCGAAAUCAACUACAAAAGAAUCAAUUAUCUUGUACCGCGCGACUAAAUCGUAAGAAAAUGGCUGUAACCAAUACCAAAUCCUAGCAUCGUCGUGUCAAAACCAUCGACGCCACCAAAACCUCGAUAGAGACAAAUACCAAACUCGAGAGCCACCAGUCGCAUUGUACUACCGAAGCCGCGGAUAUCUGGAUCACACCAUCACAUUAUUGCCGGAAUAGAUCAACGUCUUACCGAAAAACAUUGUGGCUUGAAGUAAAAGAAGAUCACCCAUGGAAAAGCACCUUUGUGGAAAAAGCUCAGGUGGUUUUCGUCGCUGGAGAUUUUAUCAGUCCCGCAAGCCGUAGCCGUCAAUCUAACGCAGCAGAUGAUUAGUUUUGUGAUUUCCGCCGCUGAUCUAAGAUACACGAUGGGCUAAGAGAAAACAUGAGAGAGAAGGACGUAUGAGAGAAAAAGAAAGUUCUG